AUACUCUGGUUUCUUUUCAGAGCACACAAAUCUUUCACCUUUUACUAAAGAUUUCUGUGGAAAGAAAAAUUCUUUAAUAAUCACAUGCCCUGAUUUGAGACAAUAAAUAAGUGUUGUA